UAAAACAAUCUACAAGGACGCCAAGUAUUGCCAGCUGAUGUAAAUAAACAACAAGGCCCUGCCAAACUCCUGAGCUCGGUGGCCGUUUAUCACACAGGUGGACCCAGGCAUGCCACCCGAUCCCUGCACCACCGACAGCCACUGCUCUGCCACCCGGUGCCCAUGGUGUCAGGUCCGAGCUCCGUCUGGUGCACAUAUGGGACAUUUGGACACCGGGAGGAGAGGCGGUCAUCAGGCUGCUGCCCACCCUCUCCAGCCAGUGGAAGAAACUGCAAAGGAGAAUUUGCCCUUCAGAACUGACAGGCUGAAGCUUCUUGUGCCAGGACUUCCCGAGAUCUGCCCACCAACCUACACAUGACCUGGAAGCCAAGUCUCUGAAGACCUGAGAUCUAAUCUCAUUUUGAAAUCUGCACCUGCCCAAGGAGCCUAUUCCAGUGCCUGUCAUCCACACCAGGGUGAGGGGAAGGUGUGCCACUCACCAGGCCAGCUCCACAGGUGCCCUGCUCCCUCCAGAACCCUGGGGGCCUCUAUGUGAAAGUCACAGCUCUGAGCUCUGGAUGACAGCUUUCUUGCAGACAAGACUAAAUCAGCCCUGUAUGUAGUGAGAUUUUCUUAAAACCAAAUUCUCUGUCAAACAAUAAAGCAGAAAUAUAACCAAAUGCCUUGCCACAGUAUAGCUUAAGUAUUUCUUAUGUUGGCACCAUGUGGGGCACAGUUUGGGUGAAUUCCUUUUAAAUAAUAGCUGUUGUAAAAAUCUCAUGUGCACAUUA